AGGCACCAGCAGCUUUUAUUUUCUCUUUGGGAUACUCUUCUGACAGAUAUUCAAGCACUCUAUAACUUCCCAAAAAUGAGAGGACAAAACCAGUAUAAUCAGUGGGUAUGUGCAGAAGCAUAUGCACGUGCAUAUAUCAUGAGCACAGGUGCUGGAGCCAGCACUGUCCAUCAACCUCUUACAUACGGGAGUUUUCUCUUUGAAGAGCAACAUUUUUAAUCCUCAAUUUAAUGAAGGAAGUCCCUGAAGAAUAUGAAGUGCAGACUAUUCAAAGAAUCAAGAAUCCUGCAUUAAGAAUUUUCUUCAAUAGCUGAGUGUUGCUGUGCUGGUGUGUCCUUUCCUUGGUUAAAACAAAGACAGAAGAGACUUCUGAAAUGACCACUUGCUGAUAGCAUAAGCCCAGAACUCAACUCUCCUAUCAUGUCAGUGCUGUUCACACCAGGUUUUUUUUCUCAGACUUCUUCUGUUGAACCUAGUCCUAUGAAAGCAAUUCUUUAGGAAGAUAACACAUAAAUGCAAUUUUUUGCCUUGUAAGCUUCUUUCAUUCAGUGCAGUUCAUAUACCUCAGGCUUUCCUCUUGCUAGUUUCAGAAACUGAUGUGUAAUUUUGCUUCUUUGAUGUGUAUUUUCAGCCAGUUUGAAGAUUAUAUGUUCUGUUGUGCUGUGUCCAUAAAAUAAAGAUGAACUGUGCUGAGCUCUACAAACUUUAUCAGCCUCGUGGAAGCUAAAAGCAAAAAGUUGAAUACAAGCAUAGCUAGGUUUAGUAGUAAAUGUUUGUCAGUUAUGUUAAAUUCAUAAUUUCAGCCUUUAACUGUUCUUCA